AAAUAAUCAUUUAGUUAGUUACACUUGACUUGACUUAAUUAUUUACUAAUGACAGGAAGAAUAUGAGAGCAUAUCUUAACAGUAUCUGCUUGUGCAUAAGCAGAUUUGUUACCAAGUUACGCCAAUGUGAUGAAACAUGGUAGAGACAAAGAAGUACAAACGAUAUGAAGGAGGAAGUUGAGAAGGACGUAGAAAAGUUUGGCUACAUAUAUGCCACGUAUUACAUGUUGGAGGCAAAUAUAAUCAAAAUGAAGUGUCUUAAGUGAAUCAAUAUUUAUUGUCUUCAUUAAAAGGUUUUGUAAAACUGUAAAGUACUUUGUUUAAGUUUAUGUUAUGUAAAUUUGAUCAUUAUUGGUGUUUGGUCGUUUCGUAUAAUUUACAUAUAAAAUGCAGACCUGUCUGUGUUUUGUCUAGAACUAUUAAAUUUCAUUGAAGUUUCUCACCCACAUUA